CCACCUCCCUAGCAGAGUUGCUAACUUUCACACGGUAAAUAAGCAUCCUGACUUUCACAAUAAGCCAAAAAUCAAGCUAAUCCCAUUUCAAAACAAGGCCAAAACAAGCCAAUCCCUAAGAACCCCAACACUGUAUGUGACUAGAGCCCCCCGACGUGCAGUCUGAGAACGUGG